rnacentral:rRNA from 1 species
UACGUAGGGGGCUAGCGUUGUCCGGAAUCAUUGGGCGUAAAGAGCGUGUAGGCGGUCCGGUAAGUCCGCUGUGAAAGUCAGGGGCUCAACCCUUGAAUGCCGGCGGAUACUGUCGGGCUAGAGUCCGGAAGAGGCGAGUGGAAUUCCCGGUGUAGCGGUGAAAUGCGCAGAUAUCGGGAGGAACACCUAUGGCGAAGGCAGCUUGCUGGGACGGUACUGACGCUGAGACGCGAAAGCGUGGGGAGCAAACAGG